ACUACGGGAGGCAGCAGUAGGGAAUCUUCCACAAUGGACGAAAGUCUGAUGGAGCAACGCCGCGUGAGUGAAGAAGGGUUUCGGCUCGUAAAGCUCUGUUGGUAGUGAAGAAAGAGAGAGGUAGUAACUGGCCUUUAUUUGACGGUAAUUACUUAGAAAGUCACGGCUAACUACGUGCCAGCGGCCGCGGUAAUACGUAGGUGGGAAGCGGUGUCCGGAUUUAUUGGGCGUAAAGCGAGUGCAGGCGGUUCAAUAAGUCUGAUGUGAAAGCCUUCGGCUCAACCGGAGAAUUGCAGCAGAAACUGGUGAACUUGAGUGCAGAAGAGGAGGGUGGAACUCCAUGUGUAGCGGUGGAAUGCGUAGAUAUAUGGAAGAACACCAGUGGCGAAGGCGGCCCUCUGGUCUGCAACUGACGCUGAGGCUCGAAAGCAUGGGUAGCGAACAGGAUUAGAUACCCCUGUAGUC
rnacentral:rRNA from 1 species